rnacentral:rRNA from 1 species
AGUGAACGCUGGCGGUAGGCCUAACACAUGCAAGUCGAACGGCAGCACAGUAAGAGCUUGCCCUUACGGGUGGCGAGUGGCGGACGGGUGAGGAAUACAUCGGAAUCUACUUUUUCGUGGGGGAUAACGUAGGGAAACUUACGCUAAUACCGCAUACGACCUACGGGUGAAAGCAGGGGAUCUUCGGACCUUGCGCGAUUGAAUGAGCCGAUGUCGGAUUAGCUAGUUGGCGGGGUAAAGGCCCACCAAGGCGACGAUCCGUAGCUGGUCUGAGAGGAUGAGCAGCCAGACUGGAACUGAGACACGGUACAGACUCCUACGGGAGGCAGCAGUGGGGAAUAUUGGACAAUGGGCGCAAGCCUGAUCCAGCCAUACCGCGUGAAUGAAGAAGGCCUUCGGGUUGUAAAGCCCUUUUGUUGGGAAAGAAAAGCAGCAGGUUAAUACCCCGCUGUUCUGACGGUACCCAAAGAAUAAGCACCGGCUAACUUCGUG